UGGGGAAUCUUAGACAAUGGGGGCAACCCUGAUCUAGCCAUGCCGCGUGAGUGAUGAAGGCCCUAGGGUUGUAAAGCUCUUUCAGCUGGGAAGAUAAUGACGGUACCAGCAGAAGAAGCCCCGGCUAACUCCGUGCCAGCAGCCGCGGUAAUACGGAGGGGGCUAGCGUUGUUCGGAAUUACUGGGCGUAAAGCGCACGUAGGCCGAUUGGAAAGUUAGAGGUGAAAUCCCAGGGCUCAACCUUGGAACUGCCUUUAAAACUAUCAGUCUAGAGUUCGAGAGAGGUGAGUGGAAUUCCGAGUGUAGAGGUGAAAUUCGUAGAUAUUCGGAGGAACACCAGUGGCGAAGGCGGCUCACUGGCUCGAUACUGACGCUGAGGUGCGAAAGCGUGGGGAGCAAACA
rnacentral:rRNA from 1 species